AUUGAACGCUGGCGGCAUGCUUUACACAUGCAAGUCGGACGAGUGGCGCACGGGUGAGUAACGCAUCGGAACGUACCGAGUAAUGGGGGAUAACUGUCCGAAAGGACAGCUAAUACCGCAUAUUAUUCGAGCGGCCGAUGUCUGAUUAGCUGGUUGGCGGGGUAAAGGCUCACCAAGCCGACGAUCUCUAGCUGGUCUGAGAGGAUGACCAGCCACACUGGGACUGAGACACGGCCCAGACUCCUACGGGAGGCAGCAGUGGGGAAUAUUGCGCAAUGGGGGCAACCCUGACGCAGCCAUGCCGCGUGAAUGAAGAAGGCCUUCGGGUUGUAAAGGUCGUUCGGUAGCGAGGCGUUAACUACAGAAGAAGCACCGGCUAACUCCGUGCCAGCAGCCGCGGUAAUUC
rnacentral:rRNA from 1 species